GAGUUUGAUCAUGGCUCAGAUUGAACGCUGGCGGCAGGCCUAACACAUGCAAGUCGAGCGGAAACGAGUUAACUGAACCUUCGGGGGACGUUAACGGCGUCGAGCGGCGGACGGGUGAGUAAUGCCUAGGAAAUUGCCCUGAUGUGGGGGAUAACCAUUGGAAACGAUGGCUAAUACCGCAUGAUGCCUACGGGCCAAAGAGGGGGACCUUCGGGCCUCUCGCGUCAGGAUAUGCCUAGGUGGGAUUAGCUAGUUGGUGAGGUAAGGGCUCACCAAGGCGACGAUCCCUAGCUGGUCUGAGAGGAUGAUCAGCCACACUGGAACUGAGACACGGUCCAGACUCCUACGGGAGGCAGCAGUGGGGAAUAUUGCACAAUGGGCGCAAGCCUGAUGCAGCCAUGCCGCGUGUGUGAAGAAGGCCUUCGGGUUGUAAAGCACUUUCAGUCGUGAGGAAGGUAGUGUAGUUAAUAGCUGCAUUAUUUGACGUUAGCGACAGAAGAAGCACCGGCUAACUCCGUGCCAGCAGCCGCGGUAAUACGGAGGGUGCGAGCGUUAAUGGGAAUUACUGGGCGUAAAGCGCAUGCAGGUGGUUUGUUAAGUCAGAUGUGAAAGCCCGGGGCUCAACCUCGGAAUAGCAUUUGAAACUGGCAGACUAGAGUACUGUAGAGGGGGGUAGAAUUUCAGGUGUAGCGGUGAAAUGCGUAGAGAUCUGAAGGAAUACCGGUGGCGAAGGCGGCCCCCUGGACAGAUACUGACACUCAGAUGCGAAAGCGUGGGGAGCAAACAGGAUUAGAUACCCUGGUAGUCCACGCCGUAAACGAUGUCUACUUGGAGGUUGUGGCCUUGAGCCGUGGCUUUCGGAGCUAACGCGUUAAGUAGACCGCCUGGGGAGUACGGUCGCAAGAUUAAAACUCAAAUGAAUUGACGGGGGCCCGCACAAGCGGUGGAGCAUGUGGUUUAAUUCGAUGCAACGCGAAGAACCUUACCUACUCUUGACAUCCAGAGAACUUUCCAGAGAUGGAUUGGUGCCUUCGGGAACUCUGAGACAGGUGCUGCAUGGCUGUCGUCAGCUCGUGUUGUGAAAUGUUGGGUUAAGUCCCGCAACGAGCGCAACCCUUAUCCUUGUUUGCCAGCGAGUAAUGUCGGGAACUCCAGGGAGACUGCCGGUGAUAAACCGGAGGAAGGUGGGGACGACGUCAAGUCAUCAUGGCCCUUACGAGUAGGGCUACACACGUGCUACAAUGGCGCAUACAGAGGGCGGCCAACUUGCGAAAGUGAGCGAAUCCCAAAAAGUGCGUCGUAGUCCGGAUUGGAGUCUGCAACUCGACUCCAUGAAGUCGGAAUCGCUAGUAAUCGUGGAUCAGAAUGCCACGGUGAAUACGUUCCCGGGCCUUGUACACACCGCCCGUCACACCAUGGGAGUGGGCUGCAAAAGAAGUAGGUAGUUU
rnacentral:rRNA from 1 species